UACGUAGGGUGCAAGCGUUGUCCGGAAUUAUUGGGCGUAAAGAGCUCGUAGGCGGUCUGUCGCGUCGGCUGUGAAAACUCGGGGCUCAACCCCGAGCCUGCAGUCGAUACGGGCAGACUAGAGUCCGGCAGGGGAGACUGGAAUUCCUGGUGUAGCGGUGAAAUGCGCAGAUAUCAGGAGGAACACCGGUGGCGAAGGCGGGUCUCUGGGCCGGAACUGGCGCUGAGGAGCGAAAGCGUGGGGAGCGAACAGG
rnacentral:rRNA from 1 species